rnacentral:rRNA from 1 species
UACGGGGGGGGCAAGCGUUGUUCGGAAUUACUGGGCGUAAAGGGCUCGUAGGUGGCCAACUAAGUCAGACGUGAAAUCCCUCGGCUUAACCGGGGAACUGCGUCUGAUACUGGAUGGCUUGAGUUCGGGAGAGGGAUGCGGAAUUCCAGGUGUAGCGGUGAAAUGCGUAGAUAUCUGGAGGAACACCGGUGGCGAAGGCGGCAUCCUGGACUACUACUGACGCUGAGGAGCGAAAGCCAGGGGAGCAAACGGG